AAAUGGUAAGACUGGCAGUAAAAUUACAUGCAACACCAAUAAAGAUGUUGCUGAUAAUCCAGCAGUUGAGGAUGAAGAACCAGAAGUUGAGGAGAAACCUGAAGAACCAACAGUUGAAGAAAAACCUGAGGAACCAGCAAUGGAAGGAAAACUUGAGAAACUGGCAGUUGAAGAUAAACUUGAGGAACGAGCAGUUGAACAGAACCCUGAGGAAACAGCAGUUGAACCUGAAGAACCAACAGUUGAAGAAAAACCUGAAGAACCAGCAAUGGAAGGAAAACUUGAGAAACUGGCAGUUGAAGAUAAACUUGAGGAACGAGCAGUUGAAAAGAACACUGAGGAAACACCAGUUGAAGAAAAACUUGAGGAACCAGUAG
rnacentral:lncRNA from 1 species